GGGUUGUGAGGUUAAGCGACUAAGCGUACACGGUGGAUGCCCUGGCAGUCAGAGGCGAUGAAGGACGUGCUAAUCUGCGAUAAGCGUCGGUAAGGUGAUAUGAACCGUUAUAACCGGCGAUUUCCGAAUGGGGAAACCCAGUGUGUUUCGACACACUAUCAUUAACUGAAUCCAUAGGUUAAUGAGGCGAACCGGGGGAACUGAAACAUCUAAGUACCCCGAGGAAAAGAAAUCAACCGAGAUUCCCCCAGUAGCGGCGAGCGAACGGGGAGCAGCCCAGAGCCUGAAUCAGUGUGUGUGUUAGUGGAAGCGUCUGGAAAGGCGCGCGAUACAGGGUGACAGCCCCGUACACAAAAAUGCACAUGCUGUGAGCUCGAUGAGUAGGGCGGGACACGUGGUAUCCUGUCUGAAUAUGGGGGGACCAUCCUCCAAGGCUAAAUACUCCUGACUGACCGAUAGUGAACCAGUACCGUGAGGGAAAGGCGAAAAGAACCCCGGCGAGGGGAGUGAAAAAGAACCUGAAACCGUGUACGUACAAGCAGUGGGAGCCUCUUUAUGGGGUGACUGCGUACCUUUUGUAUAAUGGGUCAGCGACUUAUAUUCUGUAGCAAGGUUAACCGAAUAGGGGAGCCGAAGGGAAACCGAGUCUUAACUGGGCGUUAAGUUGCAGGGUAUAGACCCGAAACCCGGUGAUCUAGCCAUGGGCAGGUUGAAGGUUGGGUAACACUAACUGGAGGACCGAACCGACUAAUGUUGAAAAAUUAGCGGAUGACUUGUGGCUGGGGGUGAAAGGCCAAUCAAACCGGGAGAUAGCUGGUUCUCCCCGAAAGCUAUUUAGGUAGCGCCUCGUGAAUUCAUCUCCGGGGGUAGAGCACUGUUUCGGCAAGGGGGUCAUCCCGACUUACCAACCCGAUGCAAACUGCGAAUACCGGAGAAUGUUAUCACGGGAGACACACGGCGGGUGCUAACGUCCGUCGUGAAGAGGGAAACAACCCAGACCGCCAGCUAAGGUCCCAAAGUCAUGGUUAAGUGGGAAACGAUGUGGGAAGGCCCAGACAGCCAGGAUGUUGGCUUAGAAGCAGCCAUCAUUUAAAGAAAGCGUAAUAGCUCACUGGUCGAGUCGGCCUGCGCGGAAGAUGUAACGGGGCUAAACCAUGCACCGAAGCUGCGGCAGCGACGCUUAUGCGUUGUUGGGUAGGGGAGCGUUCUGUAAGCCUGUGAAGGUGUGCUGUGAGGCAUGCUGGAGGUAUCAGAAGUGCGAAUGCUGACAUAAGUAACGAUAAAGCGGGUGAAAAGCCCGCUCGCCGGAAGACCAAGGGUUCCUGUCCAACGUUAAUCGGGGCAGGGUGAGUCGACCCCUAAGGCGAGGCCGAAAGGCGUAGUCGAUGGGAAACAGGUUAAUAUUCCUGUACUUGGUGUUACUGCGAAGGGGGGACGGAGAAGGCUAUGUUGGCCGGGCGACGGUUGUCCCGGUUUAAGCGUGUAGGCUGGUUUUCCAGGCAAAUCCGGAAAAUCAAGGCUGAGGCGUGAUGACGAGGCACUACGGUGCUGAAGCAACAAAUGCCCUGCUUCCAGGAAAAGCCUCUAAGCAUCAGGUAACAUCAAAUCGUACCCCAAACCGACACAGGUGGUCAGGUAGAGAAUACCAAGGCGCUUGAGAGAACUCGGGUGAAGGAACUAGGCAAAAUGGUGCCGUAACUUCGGGAGAAGGCACGCUGAUAUGUAGGUGAAGCGACUUGCUCGUGGAGCUGAAAUCAGUCGAAGAUACCAGCUGGCUGCAACUGUUUAUUAAAAACACAGCACUGUGCAAACACGAAAGUGGACGUAUACGGUGUGACGCCUGCCCGGUGCCGGAAGGUUAAUUGAUGGGGUUAGCGCAAGCGAAGCUCUUGAUCGAAGCCCCGGUAAACGGCGGCCGUAACUAUAACGGUCCUAAGGUAGCGAAAUUCCUUGUCGGGUAAGUUCCGACCUGCACGAAUGGCGUAAUGAUGGCCAGGCUGUCUCCACCCGAGACUCAGUGAAAUUGAACUCGCUGUGAAGAUGCAGUGUACCCGCGGCAAGACGGAAAGACCCCGUGAACCUUUACUAUAGCUUGACACUGAACAUUGAGCCUUGAUGUGUAGGAUAGGUGGGAGGCUUUGAAGUGUGGACGCCAGUCUGCAUGGAGCCGACCUUGAAAUACCACCCUUUAAUGUUUGAUGUUCUAACGUUGACCCGUAAUCCGGGUUGCGGACAGUGUCUGGUGGGUAGUUUGACUGGGGCGGUCUCCUCCUAAAGAGUAACGGAGGAGCACGAAGGUUGGCUAAUCCUGGUCGGACAUCAGGAGGUUAGUGCAAUGGCAUAAGCCAGCUUGACUGCGAGCGUGACGGCGCGAGCAGGUGCGAAAGCAGGUCAUAGUGAUCCGGUGGUUCUGAAUGGAAGGGCCAUCGCUCAACGGAUAAAAGGUACUCCGGGGAUAACAGGCUGAUACCGCCCAAGAGUUCAUAUCGACGGCGGUGUUUGGCACCUCGAUGUCGGCUCAUCACAUCCUGGGGCUGAAGUAGGUCCCAAGGGUAUGGCUGUUCGCCAUUUAAAGUGGUACGCGAGCUGGGUUUAGAACGUCGUGAGACAGUUCGGUCCCUAUCUGCCGUGGGCGCUGGAGAACUGAGGGGGGCUGCUCCUAGUACGAGAGGACCGGAGUGGACGCAUCACUGGUGUUCGGGUUGUCAUGCCAAUGGCACUGCCCGGUAGCUAAAUGCGGAAGAGAUAAGUGCUGAAAGCAUCUAAGCACGAAACUUGCCCCGAGAUGAGUUCUCCCUGACCCUUUAAGGGUCCUGAAGGAACGUUGAAGACGACGACGUUGAUAGGCCGGGUGUGUAAGCGCAGCGAUGCGUUGAGCUAACCGGUACUAAUGAACCGUGAGGCUUAACCUUACAACGCCGAAG
rnacentral:rRNA from 1 species